GAUAAUUAUGGAAUGUCAUGGUGUUGACAUCAGAACCAGCGAGCAAGUCACACAGUCAUACUGGUUUGGAACAUCAUGAUGGCAGCGGGACCCUGAGGGAGUGAGAGAGUCCACAGCCCGACACACACUGAGAUAAAUUGCUCUCACUCCAGUGAGUGUUAUUCAUUGGUCAGAGGUUGGGAAGAAAAGCUUCUCAGGACCCAAAAGCACUGUGAAGGUACCACGGUACAGAAGUGCAGGCUGUUGGACAGUGUUAACCAAUAAUCAAAUAGUGGCUCCAUUGUGGUAAGUAUCAUCCACUUUUCACAAUCCAAUCCUCCCUAUGGAUGAAGUCAAAUCCUAUUUUGCAUUUUCACUUAAAAAUGUUACAUUACAGAAGUAAAAUUGUUUGAGAAUGACUAUUCAAGUUGAUUUUAAGAAGCUAAAUGGGAAUAUCCGCACACCGGCCUCCAGAACACAACAUGUUCUGGUGUUUUCAGCAGGGAUGGCGGCAUACGAUGGCCUGUCAGGUCAUUCACGGCACAGUGCACUGUAGACACUAAGCAACUGUCAACAUGUCUGAAUAUUUACAGAUCCCAGCUGAACAAAGUAACAUAUCAAAUAAAGCUAUGCUGAUAACAAAGGCAUGUGUCUGUCUGUGAGAUUUAUGGAUUCUGACCACUGUAAAGGGAUGUGGGGAUGUUUCUGUAGGGUGUACAGUAGAGAGUAAAAACUCUCAUUCUGACUAUACUAACCCCGAAAAGUGUCUACUUUGCUGGUGUUGUGAGCUUAGCAUCAUCAGCCUUUGGGUUUUUCACACCGGUUUGUUUUUCCAAAGAACCAAAGUGUCCACAAUGCGUUUGAACCUCAGUUAGAGCAGCCUGCAGUGAAUCAUUCAUAGAAUCACGUCACGUACACGCUCAGAGAUGUUCCUCGAUUCUUACAUAACGGGAUUGUUUUGUGUGAAGGAGCAGAGGGAAAUUCCCCCACAAGUUAUUAUCUAAGGGUUUAUGAUGAAAAGAUGUCCUAAAAUAAAUCCAGGGUAAAAUUAAUAUCCGAAAAAUGUAAAAAAGCUUUUUCUGCCUCCCCUGCUGAAAAGACAAAAGUCAACUAGGUAAACAGCAUGGUCUACACUUACAAAAAUGUACUGUCCCAUACUAAAGUGAUGAUGAUACAUGGUAAUAUAAUGUUACUUUCAAAUUACACACUGUACUAAAAUUAGUUUACCAUGCUAUUAACAUGGUACUCCAUGUCACCUAAUGACAUUACUGUACUGUACUACCAGCAUGGUAACAUUUUGUAAGUAACACUUACAAAAAAGUACCAUAGUACUAACAUGUUUUUUGGGCAUGCACCAUAGUAUUAUCGUUUAUUUUUUAAUUUAUUUUUUUAAAUUUUUUUUUAUUUUUUGACAUUUUUUUAGUACUAUGGUGUUCUUUGAAGCACCUUGCAAAUACAAUAGUACAUGACUUUAAGUACCGUGAUCAUGAUAUAUUUCAAACUACCAUGGUAUUACCACCCGAUGACAUUACUGUACUGUACCAUACUACCAGCACAGUAACAUUUUGGAAGUAACACUUCCAAAAAGGUACUAUAGUACAACCAUGUUUUUCAAACAUGCACCAUGGUAUUAGCAUAGUAUUGCCAUAGCAUCCCUUACGAAAAUUAACCAUGGUUUUGCUACACUAACCAUAAUUUACACAUUGUAUUUUGGUAAAACUGUGGUUAUACAAAUGGUAUUCAAUUUGCAAAAAAAAAAAAAAAAAAAACAUGGUUACUACAUUUUUACUAUAAUAAAACUAUGGUUAAUUUUCUUAAGAGAUUUUUGUAAGAGCUUUUGAGUCAGAUGUAAAUAACAUUAAUUUUAAUAUCAUAGUAUAUUUCUAAGUGUAAAACUGUACAAAAAAAGUACAGUGGCAGUACCAUGGUACUUGUCUUUACAUGGUACUCCAUGAUCACCAUGGUACUUUUUUGUAAGUGUUUGCUGGUACCAAUGCUAAACCAGCACUAACUAGCAUAAAGCAGUCUGGACUAAUAUAGAAAUUAUUUGCUGGUUGUCCUGAUUCCUCAAUAAAUAUGCUACAAUUAGUACAAAAUGCAGCUGCUAGAAUUCUUUCCAGGUCAAGAAAAUAUGAUCGUAUAUCACCAAUUUUAUCAUCUCUGCACUGGUUACCCAUUAAGUUCCGUAUCAAUUAUAAAGUAUUGCUAAUGACCUAUAAGGCUCUAAAUGGUUUAGCUCCUGUGUACUUAACUGAUCUUCUAUCGCCCUACAAUCCUUCACGGUCUUUAAAAGAUCACAAAAUUCUGGACUUCUGGUUGUACCUAGGAUAGCUAAGUCCACUAAAAGAGGGAGAGCGUUUUCACAUUUGGCUCCUAAACUCUGGAAUAGCCUUCCUGAUAAUG